rnacentral:rRNA from 1 species
GAUGAACGCUGGCGGCGUGCCUAAUACAUGCAAGUCGAGCGAACGGACGAGAAGCUUGCUUCUCUGAUGUUAGCGGCGGACGGGUGAGUAACACGUGGAUAACCUACCUAUAAGACUGGGAUAACUUCGGGAAACCGGAGCUAAUACCGGAUAAUAUUUUGAACCGCAUGGUUCAAAAGUGAAAGACGGUCUUGCUGUCACUUAUAGAUGGAUCCGCGCUGCAUUAGCUAGUUGGUAAGGUAACGGCUUACCAAGGCAACGAUGCAUAGCCGACCUGGGAGGGUGAUCGGCCACACUGGAACUGAGACACGGUCCAGACUCCUACGGGAGGCAGCAGUAGGGAAUCUUCUGCAAUGGGCGAAAGCCUGACGGAGCAACGCCGCGUGAGUGAUGAAGGUCUUCGGAUCGUAAAACUCUGUUAUUAGGGAAGAACAUAUGUGUAAGUAACUGUGCACAUCUUGACGGUACCUAAUCAGAAAGCCACGGCUAACUACGUG